UAGCGAGUUUGCUUGAGAACAAGUUCCUGAAAAUUUCUGGAGACUAAAGGACUAAUUGAGAAUGGUAGAUAAAGUGGGCUGCAAAUAGAACACAGGUGAAAGAAAGCAACACCGGGCUCUGAAUCCAAACUAGAGAAUGAAAAAGGUAUUAAGGUUAUGGAAGCCCAACUAGACACUUAUAGAGACAAACAUGUUGGAAUUAAGAAAGAAGAAAGUGAUGAAUUUGUGGGGUGAUGGUGAUUACCAGCCAUCAGAUCAAGUCAGCAACAAAUCUUGAUCGUGUUAAAUCAACUUCCUCGUGAUGUAAAGGUUACUUUCAUGGCCCUCAUUUUAUUGAUUUUUUUUCAAUUUCAAUAUGAUUUUUCAUAUAUUCCCAUAUUGUUAUAGUUUCCAGAUAUGUUAUUGCAUCUAUGAAAUGAAAAAAUAUCCUAAUCACAAAUAACAAUAUCAACACCGCCGCUCUCCGCUCCUCUUCAAAGUUGGUUUUUAUCCACCAAGUUAUAAGAAUAACUUCUUAAGAUAAAGUUCUAUUUAGAAAAAAGAUUCCAUGGCAUACAGUAUAAUUAAGGUUUUUAAUUCAAGAUUUCAUAUUAUAUAAUGUUUAAAAUAUAGGUUUUUAAUUCAAGAUUCCAUUUUUGUUGCUUAUUUGGUUUUUCGAUGAUGGGUUUUUGUGUUGUAAAAGUACGCACCUCCCUUGCCAGAGGUGCCAAAAUGGCGUCCCAGUUUAAAAGUCGCAGCUUCCUAUAUUGAGUCAUUGCUCUGUGAUCCAAACCCAAACUCGCCAUGGAACUCAGAAGUAGCAUGGUUAACAACAACAAGCUCCUCAAUUGGUUAAUCAAUCAUCAACAUCUUCAUUGGCGAAGGCUAGAAUUGCAUUGAAGGUUAGAAUUAAGUUUUGGAUUUGAAGCCAGGUGGAGUUAAACUAUGGGAAAUUGGUGAAGCUUAUGAUUGGUACAACCUUGCAGUUCAAAUUGAAGCAACAUUUAGGAAUGUACAUAUCAUUCAUAUUUACAUUCCAUAGUUGUUUUUAAGGUUGAUUAUGAUUUUGCAGUAGCUUCUCUAUUAUUAAAAGUUUUUCAUUACUCUUAAAACUAUUGUAUAUAGGUUUUAAAUCUUAC